rnacentral:rRNA from 1 species
UAGGGAAUAUUGGACAAUGGGCGAAAGCCUGAUCCAGCAAUGCCGCGUGAGUGAAGAAGGCCUUAGGGUUGUAAAGCUCUGUCAUCGAGGACGAUAAUGACGGUACUCGAAAAGGAAGGGUCGGCUAACUUCGUGCCAGCAGCCGCGGUAAUACGAAGGACCCUAGCGUUGCUCGGAAUCACUGGGCGGAAAGCGCGCGUAGGCGGUUAUGUGUGUCAGGUGUGAAAGCCCCGGGCUUAACUCGGGAAUUGCAUUUGAAACUACAUAACUAGAGUGCAGAAGAGGAUAGCGGAAUUUCCAGUGUAGAGGUGAAAUUCGUAGAUAUUGGAAAGAACACCAGAGGCGAAGGCGGCUAUCUGGUCUGCAACUGACGCUAAAGCGCGAAAGCGUGGGUAGCAAACA